rnacentral:rRNA from 1 species
CCAAUCGAACUCGGAGAUAGCUGGUUCUCCCCGAAAUAGCUUUAGGGCUAGCCUCGAUUUAGAUUACCGGGGGUAGAGCACUGAAUGGGCUAGGGGGCCACAAAGCUUACCGAACCCUAUCAAACUUCGAAUACCGGAUAAUUGAUGAUCGGGAGUCAGACAGUGUGAGAUAAGUUUCAUUGUCGAAAGGGAAACAGCCCAGAUCUACGACUAAGGUCCCAAAGUUCAAGUUAAGUGGAAAAGGAUGUGCAAUUGCGUAGACAACCAGGAUGUUGGCUUAGUAGCAGCCAUUCAUUCAAAGAGUGCGUAAUAGCUCACUGGUCGAGUGAUUGUGCGCCGAAAAUGUAACGGGGCUAAACUUGACACCGAAGUCUAGGCAGAAGGAAACUUCUGGGUAGGGGAGCAACGUGUACGGGCAGAAGCAGAAGCGGAAGCGACUGUGGACUGUACAGGAGAGAGAAUGCCGGCAUGAGUAGCGAGAGCAAAGUGAGAAUCUUUGCCGUCGAAAGCCUAAGGUUUCCUGAGGAAGGCUCGUCCUCUCAGGGUAAGUCGGGACCUAAGCCGAGGACAAUAGUCGUAGGCGAUGGACAAUCGGUUAAUAUUCCGAUACCGCCGAGCAACCGGAUGCAGUGACACAGAAGGAUAGGCAGAGCGUGGCGAUGGUAGACCACGUCCAAGCAGUGAGGCUGUUGUGUAGUGAAGUACGCACAACGAAAGGCUGGGCUGUGAUGGGGAACGAUUACGAUCGGUAAGCUGCUGAAUUCACGCUGGCGAGAAAAGCUGCUACGAAGCGAAGGCGCCCGUACCGCAAACCGACACAGGUAGGCGAGGAGAGAAUCCUAAGACGAGCGGGAGAACCCUUGUUAAGGAACUCGGCAAAAUGACUCCGUAACUUAGGGAGAAGGAGUGCCCAGGAAUGGGCCGCAGAGAAUAGACCCAAGCGACUGUUUACCAAAAACACAGGUCUGUGCGAAGUAGAGAUACGACGUAUACGGGCUGACACCUGCCCAGUGCCGGAAGGUUAAGGGGAAAUGUUAGGGCAACCGAAGCAUGGAACUUAAGCCCCGGUGAACGGCGGCCGUAACUAUAACGGUCCUAAGGUAGCGAAAUUCCUUGUCGGGUAAGUUCCGACCCGCACGAAUGGUGUAACGAUUUGGGUACUGUCUCAACAAGGGACCCGGCGAAAUUGUAGUAUGUGUGAAGAUGCACAUUACCCGCGAUAGGACGGAAAGACCCCGUAGAGCUUUACUGUAGUUUAACAUUGGAUUCCGGUAACAUAUGCACAGGAUAGGUGGGAGGCGGAGAAGCAGUGAUUUCGGUUGCUGCAGAGCCGACGUUGGGAUACCACUCUUGUGUUACUGGGGUUCUAACCUGUGGCCGUGAUCCGGCACAGGAACAGUGUUAGAUGGGCAGUUUGACUGGGGCGGUCGCCUCCAAAAGAGUAACGGAGGCGUCCAAAGGUUCCCUCAGAAUGGUUGGAAACCAUUCGAAGAGUGCAAAGGCAGAAGGG